rnacentral:rRNA from 1 species
GUCGAGCGGACAGAUGGGAGCUUGCUCCCUGAUGUUAGCGGCGGACGGGUGAGUAACACGUGGGUAACCUGCCUGUAAGACUGGGAUAACUCCGGGAAACCGGGGCUAAUACCGGAUGGUUGUUUGAACCGCAUGGUUCAAACAUAAAAGGUGGCUUCGGCUACCACUUACAGAUGGACCCGCGGCGCAUUAGCUAGUUGGUGAGGUAACGGCUCACCAAGGCAACGAUGCGUAGCCGACCUGAGAGGGUGAUCGGCCACACUGGGACUGAGACACGGCCCAGACUCCUACGGGAGGCAGCAGUAGGGAAUCUUCCGCAAUGGACGAAAGUCUGACGGAGCAACGCCGCGUGAGUGAUGAAGGUUUUCGGAUCGUAAAGCUCUGUUGUUAGGGAAGAACAAGUACCGUUCGAANAGGGCGGUACCUUGACGGUACCUAACCAGAAAGCCACGGCUAACUACGUGCCAGCAGCCGCGGUAAUACGUAGGUGGCAAGCGUUGUCCGGAAUUAUUGUNCGUAAAGGGCUCGCAGGCGGUUUCUUAAGUCUGAUGUGAAAUCCCCCGGCUCAAUC